rnacentral:lncRNA from 1 species
UCUUUUUUUUUGUUGUUUUUAAUAACUCACAGAAUCCAACUGUGUUGCUCAUGUGUACAUGGCUGUGGGUUCAUUCGCUUGGAUCUGGGUAGCUCACCAGCAUCAAAUGUCCAAAGAAGAGAGACUCUGCUCAGGCAGCCUUCAAUUGCCAGUAUCUCUGCAGCUAGGGCCACGGUCCUCAGGAGCCAGUCCCCCAUUGAUGCUGGAAUUCUGGCUGGUCUGACUGUAUACAGGUUCCACAGCUCCAAGUUCAUGGGUGCAAUGCUGCCUACCCAGCCUCUUGCUUCGUUUUUAUCUCCUCACUUGUUUGAUGCUCCCUGAGCCUCAGAGCAGGUGAAGGUUGACCCGGAUGGUCCAUGAAUGACUGAGCACACCCGAUUACUUCUUCUUAGCCCUUUGAUUAGCUAUGAAUGCACCUCCAGAAGGUGGUUCUCUGACCACCUCUGAGAGCAGCACAGACCUAUGUGUCUGUUGAUACGUGUUGAUUGGUUAGCUUUGCCUUCUGUGCCGUCAUCCUCCGUUCCCCUGCACUGACUUCUUCAUGUGAUCAAAGCACUUUAUUCUCAUCUCUGUGACCGCACCCACACUGUAAUUGUUUGCCAUAAACCCGUCUCUCGUUAGAUUAUGAGCUCCCAUGGACUAUGUCUCUCCCAUGUCACAGCGACCUAUAAUCCCAGCACUUGAGAAGUGGGGGGCAGGAAGAUCUCUAGAACACAACCAGUUCCUGUAGUGUUCGGUAUACGAGACUCUGCUCAGCAUCAGGAGUGGCUGAACCGAAUACCGCAUUCCAAGCCACACUAAAGGC